ACUUACCUUGCUGCUCGGCCUCCGGCAGGCGAGCAGGAGACGCCGGGGAUCCGGGACGCACCGGACCCGCCUGCCCGCCAAAACCUCGGCGACCGAGGAGGGCGGCGCUGCAGCGGACUCAAGCCGCUUCCCACUCGGCAGUGACGAGAAGCCGCACCGCCGGAAGUCUCCAGCAGCCCCAUGCGCUGGCUGCCCGCGGAGAAGGGAGCCUGGCUGUGGGAGGCGCUGGGCAUGGUCACCGCUGGAAGAUGAGCCGGGUGCCGUUAAGGCGCGGAAGAAGGGUCGGAGCCGGCCGGGAACCGACAUUCCAGCACCGGCCAGCAGCUAGGCAGGGCACCGAGGGGACGCGACUGGCAUCGUCACUGAGGAAAUGCAGCAGAGUAUUACAUAAUUUUCUCUCUGCUGGAAUGUAAUUGUCACGAUCGGGGUGUAGCAGACGGGCGAUCGUGCGGGUAAGGAGCAGACAGGCAAGCGGGAUACGGGGAAAACGGGGUUUUAUUAGGGGAAACCGGAGCAGGACGGGAAACAGACAUUGACAACAUCAAUGACGGACGAAGGACUCGGGUAAGACACGGACUGAAAUACACAGGACUGAUUGAAAAUAAUCAGACACAGCUGGGUACAAUCCGGGAAACACACGUGGUUAGGCAGGGGGCGUGGCACACAGGAGGAGCCGACGAGCAGGGCAUGACAGUAAUGAAGAUGAGACCUUCAUUGAAAUGGUAAACUUUUCACAUUAAACUUGAUUACUUUUGGGAGUUAAGUAACAUUCGAAUUUAAUAGCUGAAAUGAUACAUGUGAAAGUAUUGGAUUUGCUUUUGGUUUUCUUUUAACUGUGACUAAUUAAAUCUUUCCAGGUGCAGUGUGACCUGGGCCAGAGAUGGGCGCAUUUUCAACGUGCUAAAUUUGAGCCACAACAUGAGGGAAACUAUUUCUGCAACAAAAUGCAUACUGAAAUAGUUUUUAAGGAAAAGCACCGAAGAUUUUUGACAUGCACUUUACUCUUACAUUUUUUUUCUACCCAAAUUCUGAAUACUUAAAUCAGAAUAAAAAACAAUGUAUUUUGUUUAUUAUAUGUUAACUAGUAACUUUGUUUAAUUAUUAAAAUCGAAGUUGAGCGGUUUUAAUGAC